GGAGGCAGCAGUGGGGAAUAUUGCACAAUGGGCGAAAGCCUGAUGCAGCCAUGCCGCGUGUGUGAAGAAGGCCUUCGGGUUGUAAAGCACUUUCAGCGAGGAGGAAAGGUUACUGGCUAAUAUCCAGUAGCUGUGACGUUACUCGCAGAAGAAGCACCGGCUAACUUCGUGCCAGCAGCCGCGGUAAUACGAGGGGUGCAAGCGUUAAUCGGAAUUACUGGGCGUAAAGCGUACGCAGGCGGUUUGUUAAGCGAGAUGUGAAAGCCCCGGGCUCAACCUGGGAACUGCAUUUCGAACUGGCAAACUAGAGUCUUGUAGAGGGGGGUAGAAUUUCAGGUGUAGCGGUGAAAUGCGUAGAGAUCUGAAGGAAUACCGGUGGCGAAGGCGGCCCCCUGGACAAAGACUGACGCUCAGGUACGAAAGCGUGGGGAGCAAACAGGAUUAGAUACCCUGGUAGUCCACGCCGUAAACGAUGUCUACUCGGAGUUUGGUGUCUUGAACACUGGGCUCUCAAGCUAACGCAUUAAGUAGACCGCCUGGGGAGUACGGCCGCAAGGUUAAAACUCAAAUGAAUUGACGGGGGCCCGCACAAGCGGUGGAGCAUGUGGUUUAAUUCGAUGCAACGCGAAGAACCUUACCUACUCUUGACAUCCUCAGAACUUUCCAGAGAUGGAUUGGUGCCUUCGGGAACUGAGAGACAGGU
rnacentral:rRNA from 1 species